UAAAUACUUAACUAAUCUCCCUUUAAGGUUCAUUUUGAACAGAUAAAAAAUGUGCGAUUAAUCACGAUUAACUAUAUAUAUUGAUUGACAGCUCUAGUUCUGAGUACUUCUUCCACCACUGGUGAACUGUUGGACCCAACAGACGUGAUUAUACUGAUAGAAGCAGCAGAAACGCGCCGGUUCGACCUCACGCCAGUCCGUUUCAUCAUCCAGCAUGUGUGCGGCUCUGACAUUUGACCCCCGGCAUUCUCGGUCUGGUUUUGGAAAGCGUGACCCUCCGCUUCCCUUGGCAACAGCGGUACGCCAAGUUUGUGACGCUCUGUGUGUGUGUGUGUGUGUGUGUGUGUGUGUGUGUGUGUGUGUGUGGCACCUGUUGGACGGGAUUAGCCCCUUGUUUUCACAAUGUGUCGAGCAGAGUUCAGUGUGCAGCAGGCAGGCCACAGGCCAGCCAAAUAUAGAAGGAGGGACAUACAGAGGGACCGAUGGUGAAGUCCUAGAGGAAAGAGAACAACAUGGGGAGGAGCUUCGCCGCGGCGGCAUGCCACCCGUGUGCGAAGGACUUACUGGGAGAAGUGGGACGUCACUGACAAACAAGGCUGGAAAUAAACACAACGCUGCUGCUGCUGCUACUCCAUCACCACCACACGCCUCCACAGCUCCACCUAGCACUUCAAUCUCAAACUGCAAACUGGUUUGAUGUUCAGUCUGAGCUCACUGACGAUGAAGCAAUAAAAUAUCCCAGAGGUGAAGGGACAAUAAUACUAAUCACAACAUCCGGAGCUCAUUCUUCCAACAACAGGUCAGCUCUUAAAGGCAACACGUCUUCACGGAAACUGUCCUCCUUUUUCACAUUAAAGGUCCCAUAUCGUGCUCAUUUUCAGGUUCAUACUUUUAUUUUGUGUUUCUACUAGAACAUGUUUACAUGCUGUAAUGUUAAAAAAAAAACUUUAUUUUCCUCAUACUGUCUGCUUAAAUAUACCUGUAUUUACCCUCUGUCUGAAACGCUCCAUUUUAGUGCAUUUCAAUGGAAUUGCGUUGCCUUGCAACAGUUUGGGUCCAUGUUAACUUCCCGUCAGCUGUUGUCAUCAACAUCCACUGCAACCAGGAAUAAACUGGGACACAUUUAGAAUG